CCUACGGGGGGCAGCAGUAGGGAAUCUUCCGCAAUGGACGAAAGUCUGACGGAGCAACGCCGCGUGAGCGAAGAAGGCCUUCGGGUCGUAAAGCUCUGUUGUUAGGGAAGAACAAGUACCGGAGUAACUGCCGGUACCUUGACGGUACCUAACCAGAAAGCCACGGCUAACUACGUGCCAGCAGCCGCGGUAAUACGUAGGUGGCAAGCGUUGUCCGGAAUUAUUGGGCGUAAAGCGCGCGCAGGCGGUUCCUUAAGUCUGAUGUGAAAGCCCCCGGCUCAACCGGGGAGGGUCAUUGGAAACUGGGGAACUUGAGUGCAGAAGAGAAGAGCGGAAUUCCACGUGUAGCGGUGAAAUGCGUAGAGAUGUGGAGGAACACCAGUGGCGAAGGCGGCUCUUUGGUCUGUAACUGACGCUGAGGCGCGAAAGCGUGGGGAGCGAACAGGAUUAGAUACCCGUGUAGUC
rnacentral:rRNA from 1 species